CUCGUAGGCGGUUUGUCGCGUCUGCCGUGAAAUCCUCUGGCUUAACUGGGGGCGUGCGGUGGGUACGGGCAGACUGGAGUGCGGUAGGGGAGACUGGAAUUCCUGGUGUAGCGGUGGAAUGCGCAGAUAUCAGGAGGAACACCGGUGGCGAAGGCGGGUCUCUGGGCCGUUACUGACGCUGAGGAGCGAAAGCAUGGGGAGCGAACG
rnacentral:rRNA from 1 species